AUGAACGCUGGCGGCGUGCUUAACACAUGCAAGUCGAACGGAAAGGCUCCUGCUUGCAGGGGUACUCGAGUGGCGAACGGGUGAGUAACACGUGGGUGAUCUGCCCUGUACUUCGGGAUAAGCCUGGGAAACUGGGUCUAAUACCGGAUAGGACGAUGGUUUGGAUGCCAUUGUGGAAAGUUUUUCGGUGUGGGAUGAGCUCGCGGCCUAUCAGCUUGUUGGUGGGGUAAUGGCCUACCAAGGCGUCGACGGGUAGCCGGCCUGAGAGGGUGUACGGCCACAUUGGGACUGAGAUACGGCCCAGACCCCUAGGGGGGGCAGAGGGGGGGAAUAUUGCACAAUGGGGGCAAGCCUGAUGCAGCGACGCCGCGGGGGGGAGGCCGGCCUUGGGGUUGUAAACCCCUUUCGCUAGGGACGAAGCGCAAGGGACGGUACCGGGAGAAGAAGCCCCGGCUAACUACG
rnacentral:rRNA from 1 species